rnacentral:rRNA from 1 species
UACGUAGGGGGCAAGCGUUGUCCGGAAUCAUUGGGCGUAAAGCGCGUGUAGGCGGCUCGGUAAGUCCGCUCUGAAAGUCCGGGGCUCAACCCCGGGAGGCGGGUGGAUACAGUCGAGCUAGAGUCCGGAAGAGGCGAGUGGAAUUCCUGGUGUAGCGGUGAAAUGCGCAGAUAUCAGGAGGAACACCAAUGGCGAAGGCAGCUCGCUGGGACGGUACUGACGCUGAGACGCGAAAGCGUGGGGAGCAAACAGG